UACGUAGGGGGCAAGCGUUGUCCGGAUUUAUUGGGCGUAAAGAGCGCGUAGGCGGCCCUGUAAGUCCGCUGUGAAAGUCAAGGGCUCAACCCCUUGAAUGCCGGUGGAGUACUGCAGGGCUAGAGUCCGGAAGAGGCGAGUGGAAUUCCUGGUGUAGCGGUGAAAUGCGCAGAUAUCAGGAAGAACACCCGUGGCGAAGG
rnacentral:rRNA from 1 species